GUGCUUACUUGAGCAGCACAUACAUUAAAAUUGGCACGAUACAGAGAAGAUUAACAUGGCUCCUGCGCAAAGAUGAUACACAAAUGUGUGAAGCUUUUCAUAUUUUU
ensembl:snRNA U6 U6 spliceosomal RNA